rnacentral:rRNA from 1 species
AGUGAACGCUGGCGGUAGGCCUAACACAUGCAAGUCGAACGGCAGCACAGUAAGAGCUUGCUCUUACGGGUGGCGAGUGGCGGACGGGUGCGGAAUACAUCGGAAUCUACUUUUUCGUGGGGGAUAACGUAGGGAAACUUACGCUAUUACCGCAUACGAACUACGGGUGAAAGCAGGGGAUCUUCGGACCUUGCGCGAUUGAAUGAGCCGAUGUCGGAUUAGCUAGUUGGCGGGGUAAAGGCCCACCAAGGCGACGAUCCGUAGCUGGUCUGAGAGGAUGAUCAGCCACACUGGAACUGAGACACGGUCCAGACUCCUACGGGAGGCAGCAGUGGGGAAUAUUGGACAAUGGGCGAAAGCCUGAUCCAGCCAUACCGCGUGGGUGAAGAAGGCCUUCGGGUUGUAAAGCCCUUUUGUUGGGGAAGAAAAGCAGCAGGUUAAUACCCCGCUGUUCUGACGGUACCCAAAGAAUAAGCACCGGCUAACUUCGUG